AUGCAUGACAUGAGUCACACAACAACACCAAUGGAUGAAGAUGGAGAUCAUGUUAUUGUUUCAGAUGAUGAAGAAGAGGAUGAUGUGGAAGAGGUCGAGGUGCUACCUUCUAAGCGCAAGCUCACAUCUAAGGUUUGGUUGGAAAUGAAGAAGAUGAGGAUCAAUGGUGAAUGGAAGGCCAAGUGUAAUUGGUGUCACAAGGUACUUACCGCGGGAUCGAAGAAUGGAACUAAGCAUCUUCGUUUGCAUCUUGAUAUUUGCACUCUUAAGAAGUUGAAGACCAAGGGAGGUAAAAUUUUGAGUCAAUCCUCAUUGAAGGUGAGUGCGGAAGAGGAUGGGAAAGUGAGCAUGGAGAGCUAUAGUUUUGAUCAAUAUUAUGCUAGAUUUGAGCUUGGCAACAUGUUGGUGUUGCAUGAUUAUCCAUUGUCUAUGGUAGACCAUGUUGGUUUUAGGAUAUUUGUUGCUGCCCUUCAGCCGUUAUUCAAGCUUCAUACAAGAAAUACUAUCCGGUAA
rnacentral:rRNA from 1 species